rnacentral:tRNA from 1 species
GGCCGCCUGGCGAAAUGGCAUCGCGUCUGACUACGACUUGGCGUGAAAUCAGGAGAUUGCAGGUUCGACCCCUGCGGUGGUCA